AGUGAACGCUGGCGGCAGGCCUAACACAUGCAAGUCGAACGGCAGCACAGUAAGAGCUUCCUCUCACCGAUGGCGAGUGGCGGACGGGUCACGCAUACAUCGGAACCUACUUUUUCGUGGGGGAUAACGUAGGGACACUUACGCUAAUACCGCAUACGACCUACGGGUGAAAGCACGGGAUCUUCGGACCUUGCGCGAUUGAAUGAGCCGAGGUCGGAUUAGCUAGUUGGCGGGGUAAAGGCCCACCAAGGCGACGAUCCGUAGCUGGUCUGAGAGGAUGAUCAGCCACACUGGAACUGAGACACGGUCCAGACUCCUACGGGAGGCAGCAGUGGGGAAUGUUGGACAAUGGGCGCAAGCCUGAUCCAGCCAUACCGCGUGAGUGAAGAAGGCCUUCGGGUUGUAAAGACCUGUUGUUGGGAAAGAAAAGCAGCUGGUUAAUACCCCGCUGUUCUGACGGUACCCAAAGAAUAAGCACCGGCUAGCUUCGUG
rnacentral:rRNA from 1 species